GGGUAUUUAGCUCAGUGGUAGAGCGCUUGCCUAGCAAGCGCAAGGCCCUGGGUUCGGUUCCCAGCUCCCCCC
rnacentral:tRNA from 1 species